UACGUAGGGGGCAAGCGUUGUCCGGAUUUAUUGGGCGUAAAGAGCGUGUAGGCGGCCAGGUAGGUCUGCUGUGAAAACUCGAGGCUCAACCUCGAGAUGUCGGCGGAAACCAUCUGGCUAGAGUCCGGAAGAGGAAAGUGGAAUUCCCGGUGUAGCGGUGAAAUGCGUAGAUAUCGGAAGGAACACCAGUGGCGAAAGCGGCUUCCUGGUCCAGCACCGACGUUCAGGCACGAAAGCGUGGGGAGCAAACAGG
rnacentral:rRNA from 1 species